rnacentral:rRNA from 1 species
CACGUAGGGCGCAAGCGUUGUCCGGAAUUAUUGGGCGUAAAGAGCUCGUAGGUGGUUUGUUACGUCUGCUGUGAAAACCUAGGGCUUAACCCUGGGCUUGCAGUGGAUACGGGCAGACUAGAGGUAGGUAGGGGAGAAUGGAAUUCCUGGUGUAGCGGUGAAAUGCGCAGAUAUCAGGAGGAACACCGGUGGCGAAGGCGGCACUCUGGGACGGUACUGACGCUGAGACGCGAAAGCGUGGGGAGCGAACAGG